rnacentral:rRNA from 1 species
CCUGAACCCAUCCAAAUCUCUGCUCCCAGGAGGAAGGGGGUGACACAGAAAAAAUCUCCCAAUCUGCGGGAACCAUCGGGGCACGGGGAUCCUCGCGGCCCGUCUGCGCCAUCCGCCGAGCUAUCCAUCCUGCGGGAGGGUUGGGUGGGUCUUGAUUCAGAGGAUGCCAGAUGUAUGAACCAAAGCCAUUUCCGAGCACUGGAUCAGCUCACAGCAAUCCGAUUUCUCAUGAUCAACAAAUCGGACCAACUGCCAAUAAUGCGGCGUCCAAUAUUGGUGGAAAUAGCUCAAACAACAGCUUUGCCACCAGACAGCGUUUACGGUGGACAGAUGAGCUUCAUGGAUGUUUUCUUGAGGCUGUAACACGACUUGGUGGACCCGACAGGGCUACUCCAAAGGGAAUUCUUAGAACAAUGGGUGUUCAAGGGUUGACCAUUUAUCAUGUCAAAAGUCAUCUGCAGAAAUAUCGGCUUGCAAAGUACAUCCCAGACCCCACAGCUAGCGGUGACAAGUUGGAGAAGAAAGAUUUAGGAAAUCUGCUUGCAGGAAUCGAAAGCUCCCCGGGAAUGGAAACAAGCGAGGUUCUAAAGUUGCAGAUGGAGGUGCAGAAGCGGCUGCAUGAACAAUUAGAGGUACAAAGGCAGCUACAGCUCAGAAUAGAAGCCCAAGGCAAGUAUCUCCAGAAGAUCAUGGAGGAGCAGCAGCGCCUGAGCGGUGUGCUGUGCGAAUCAGUCCUGACCUCAGAGCCCCCAUUCCGGGACAAUGCCGUGACUGCAAGUGGUGACCUGGAAGGAACAGAUGAGCUGCUCAAGGCUCUUUCUUCACAUGACGACUGCCUCUCCUUGGACCGUGAGUUUUCGACACCGGAUUCCAGUUGUGGUGCCGGUUACCUCCUAAACAGCCCCAGAGAUAGCAAGAGGGCUCGUGUCAGCAACAGCCUUGGCCACGGAAACAGCGAGUUCGCACUUCCUCACAUCAUUCCGGAAUCGAGCUCGGGUUCUGAUUUGCAGCUGAGCUCGGUGUUCUCAUCCGGCACAGGGCGAUCUGGUUCAUCGGCGGCUUUGGAUGCCAUUGAAGAUGGCUUUACCAAUGGCCCGGGUAGUGAUGUUUGAUCAGGGUUCGCUAGCUGUAUCUAUCAGUCGGUAGAGCUAUUGGUCAAUAGAACAGAGUAGAUGAUGUGUACCAUGCCUUCGAUGGUGUGUUGUAUUGCACCACUUGUGUUUAUUCCUUUGAACAUUUCUAUGGAUCAAUAAAGUGUUGGCAAAUCUAAAAAAAAAAAGAACUUGUGUUUAUUCUAUCAGAG